rnacentral:misc_RNA from 1 species
AAGUCGUAACAAGGUCUCCGUUGGUGAACCAGCGGAGGGAUCAUUACCGAGUUUACAACUCCCAAACCCCUGUGAACAUACCUCUUUACUCGUUGCUUCGGCGGCCUGGUCCCCCUCUCCCGGCCUCGGGAGGCGGGGUUCGACCGUCGGAGGGACGCAACCACAAACUCUUUUAAAUUACCUCUCGAGUAUUAUCUGAGUCGAUAUUUUUUAAAUUAUCAAAACUUUCAGCAACGGAUCUCUUGGUUCUG